GAUGAACGCUAGCGCCAGGCGUAAUACAUGCAAGUCGGACGGGAUUGAGAAGCUGGCUUUUCAUGAGAGUGGCGCACGGGUGCGUAACACGUAUGUAACCUACCUCAAUCAGGGGGAUAGCCUCUCGAAAGAGAGAUUAACAUCCCAUAAAAUCAAUUUAUGACAUCAUAGAAUGAUCAAAUAAUUAUAGGAUUAUGAUGGGCAUGCGGAACAUUAGCUAGUUGGUAAGGUAACGGCUUACCCAGGCUACGAUGUUUAGGGGAUCUGCGAGGACGACCCCCCACGCUGGUACUGAGACGCGAACCGGACUCCUGCGGGGGGCAGCGUGAAGUAAUCUUGGUAGAUGGGCACAAGCCUGAACCGGCCGUGCCGCGUGCAGGAAGACGUCCCUACGGGUUGUAAACUGCUUUUGUACCGGAAUAAGCCUUUGUAUGUAUACGAAGCUGAAUGUACGGUAAGAAUAAGGAUCGGCUAACUCGGUGCCAGCGGCCGCCGUAA
rnacentral:rRNA from 1 species